GUGGGGAAUCUUGCGCAAUGGGCGAAAGCCUGACGCAGCCAUGCCGCGUGAAUGAUGAAGGUCUUAGGAUUGUAAAAUUCUUUCACCGGGGACGAUAAUGACGGUACCCGGAGAAGAAGCUCCGGCUAACUUCGUGCCAGCAGCCGCGGUAAUACGAAGGGGGCUAGCGUUGCUCGGAAUUACUGGGCGUAAAGGGCGCGUAGGCGGACAGCUUAGUCAGAGGUGAAAGCCCAGGGCUCAACCUUGGAAUUGCCUUUGAUACUGGCUGUCUUGAGUUUGGGAGAGGUGAGUGGAACUCCGAGUGUAGAGGUGAAAUUCGUAGAUAUUCGGAAGAACACCAGUAGCGAAGGCGACUCACUGGCCCAAUACUGACGCUGAGGCGCGAAAGCGUGGGGAGCAAACAGGAUUAGAUACCCUAGUAGUCC
rnacentral:rRNA from 1 species